rnacentral:rRNA from 1 species
AACGAACGCUGGCGGCAGGCUUAACACAUGCAAGUCGAGCGCCCCGCAAGGGGAGCGGCAGACGGGUGAGUAACGCGUGGGAACGUACCCUUUGCUACGGAAUAGCUCCGGGAAACUGGAAUUAAUACCGUAUGUGCCCUACGGGGGAAAGAUUUAUCGGCAAAGGAUCGGCCCGCGUUGGAUUAGCUAGUUGGUGGGGUAAUGGCCUACCAAGGCGACGAUCCAUAGCUGGUCUGAGAGGAUGAUCAGCCACAUUGGGACUGAGACACGGCCCAAACUCCUACGGGAGGCAGCAGUGGGGAAUAUUGGACAAUGGGCGCAAGCUUGAUCCAGCCAUGCCGCGUGAGUGAUGAAGGCCUUAGGGUUGUAAAGCUCUUUCACCGGAGAAGAUAAUGACGGUAUCCGGAGAAGAGGCCCCGGCUAACUUCGUGCCAGCCGCCGCAGUAAAAC